rnacentral:rRNA from 1 species
CGCGAAACCAAAUGAGCUACUACGAAGCGUCUUAUAGUAUUGAGUAUGUGGCAUAAUAUCCCAAAGAUUUCGUAGUAGGGGUGAAAGGCUUUCCAAGUUUGGUGAUAACUCGAUAGUGCUUAAACGUAUCAAGUACAAUGUCAAUUUAUUAGUGAUUAGGCUAAUAAAGGUUCAUGUGAUUUAAUUAGUUACGGCUUAUAUUGUUUAAAAACUUAUAGUCAAAGAGUUUACUAUAUAAAUAAUAUAUCAAUGGUAAAUAAGUGCUACCAUUAAACUUGUUAGUUGUUUAUACUGCUAAUAUAAGUAACAUUAGAUAUUGUUAAUGAACUCGGCAAUAUUUCCUUCAGCUGUUUAUCAAAAACAUCGCCAAUAGAAAAUAUUUUUGGUUUAUUCUGCUCCAUGAUUUUUAAAUAGCCGCAGUACCUUGACUGUGCAAAGGUAGCAUAAUCAUUUGGCUUAUAAUUGAAGUCUAGUAUGAACGAAUGAAUGGGGGAAAUCUUUAUUAGUAAUAAUUGUUGAAUUUACCAUGUGAGUGCAAAUCCUCACAAAUAAAUAAUAGACGAGAAGACCCUAGAAAUUUUAAUGAUAUGUUAAACAAAAUUUUUGUUGGGGCAACAUAGUAGCAUAUAAUCUACACUAAUGACAGGAAAUAAAUUAGUAAGAUUAAAUUACUCUAGGGAUAACAGCGUAAUUUAUGUAAGCUUGCGACCUCGAUGUUGGACUAGGGAACGAUUGCUUAGAA